rnacentral:rRNA from 1 species
AUGACUUUAUUUGAUGAUAAUCCCACUAUUUUGGAAGAGUGUCAACUUUGCAUGCAUGUGGAUCAUGAAGAGAAUAUUUUAUUUGAUAGUUAUAUUGUUGAAUUUGAUUAUGGUCCUACAUGUAAUUAUUAUGAGAGAGGAAAAUAUGGUUGUAAAAAUUUUCAUGUUAUUAAAUUACCUCUCGUUAUGUUGAGAUCGUCAAUGUUUUAUUGCCCUUCUUUGCAUAUGUUAGAUGUUUCUUGUCUUGAUAAUUUAUUUGCUUAUAAAAUUCCUAUGCAUAUGAAGUAUGUUAGACUUAAAUGA